UACGUAGGGACCAAGCGGUUGUCCGGAAUCAUUGGGCGUAAAGAGCGUGUAGGCGGCUUGUUAAGUCUUGCGUGAAAUCUCGGGGCUCAACCCGAGCGGUCGUGAGAAAUUGGCAGGCUAGAGUGCGGGAGAGGAGAGUGGAAUUCCUGGUGUAGCGGUGAAAUGCGCAGAUAUCAGGAAGAACACCCGUGGCGAAGGCGGCUCUCUGGAACGCAACUGACGCUGAGACGCGAAAGCGUGGGGAGCAAACAGG
rnacentral:rRNA from 1 species